rnacentral:misc_RNA from 1 species
CAUAGGAAUCCGGUUUUACGUAGCUAACAAAUCGCUUGAAACAGCUCGAAAUCGCCAAGAAGAGAGAUAACGUAUGUACAUCUCGCGACAAAAAUCUGUGGAAUUUACGUUAUUAAUGCAGUAAUUUCGCAAUUCCAAUUGUGAAAACGGACUCGUGCAAAUCGGUACUUUUCUACCGGCACACGCCCGAAGCCGCUUCCGCUGCGCCACCCGGGAGUUUAUUUUAUGAGUUGCAGCGGUUUUAACCUUUAAUGACAGCCCCACAGAUUCAGAUUGCAUAAAGAGCAUUAAAAUGCAGACGAUAAAGUGUGUUGUGGUAGGUGAUGGAGCGGUUGGUAAAACAUGUCUCUUGAUUUCUUAUACCACAAAUAAGUUUCCUUCCGAAUAUGUGCCUACUGUUUUUGACAAUUAUGCGGUAACUGUGAUGAUAGGAGGUGAUCCAUAUACAUUAGGAUUAUUUGAUACAGCAGGUCAGGAAGAUUAUGAUAGAUUGCGUCCCUUAAGUUAUCCUCAGACCGAUGUAUUUCUAGUAUGUUUUUCAGUUGUAUCACCGUCAUCGUUCGAAAAUGUAAAAGAAAAGUGGGUGCCUGAAAUAACGCAUCAUUGUCAAAGAACCCCAUUUCUACUUGUCGGAACACAAAUUGAUUUGAGAGAUGAUGUUGCAACAACAGAGAAGCUCGCAAAAAAUAAGCAGAAGCCAAUAUCUGGGGAACAGGGCGAGAAACUUGCCAAGGAGCUCAAGGCUGUAAAAUAUGUAGAGUGCAGUGCUCUAACACAGAAAGGUUUGAAGAAUGUAUUCGACGAAGCUAUUUUGGCUGCAUUGGAACCGCCCGAACCAGUGAAGAAAAGAAAGUGUACGCUUCUGUAAAUCGACGAAGAAUUAUUAUUGAAGGAACGCAUGCCGAACAUCAAAAUAACGCUACGUAGUACCAGACAACAGUCUUGUAUGUAGUAUAUUGUAUUAAAUAUAACUAAAUUUGCCUCUACUUUAUAAUCCGAGGGAAGAAAAAGCAAUCGCGCAAGAGUCAGCUACGAUAGCGACUGCAACAUUCCAUGAGGCGUGCUACAACGACUCUGAAUUUGUAAGGCGGCGCGAAAUUUUGAAGCGCAUCUGAGAAUUUUCUGAGAUAGAAGUUCUGAAACUGUUCUAAAAUUAUUGAUUUUUAACAUUUAUAUUGAAUAGGAUAGAGGUGGAGAAACAGAAAGAUUGGUGCUAUUGUUCAAUAAUAUUUUUUUAAAUCGAAAUGUUUACCAAGAUAUAUAUAAAUAUCUCUGAGUCGUCGAUAUCCAAUAGAGUACUCAUUUGGAUUAAUAAGGUAUUCAAGCAUCUUUCACUAAAAUGAUGAUUGUUUCUUUCGAUAAGUACUAAAAUAAAAUUUUCGACGAUGUCAGUAUUAGGAAUUCUAUGGUGAAUGUAUGAAAUGACAAAUAUAUAUUAUAGCAAUAUCAUUAUGUAGGUAUAUUAUCGAGUGCAUAUAACAAAAAGAUUAUUAUUAUUUCUAACAAUUAAUCUAUAUGAAAUAUCAUUGUUGAAUAUUAAAGGUUUUUGCAAAACUAUCUUUACGUGCGCGAUAAAUUAAUUUGAUUAUUGACAUAAUUUUAUGAUAAAAAAUUUGUCAUAUAAUAAAUAUAUAAUUACUUUCCUACCAUUUAUUCUUCGUCUAAAGUAUAGCAGCGUGUGGGCAAAAGCUUUUUAAUAUCGAUAAUGAAAUUUCAGAUCUUUAAAAAAUAUACAUGAUACCUUAAUUAAGGAAAGCUUUUAAGAAAAUCGACCAAUUUUUUCAUGCAUUUUUGAGUGCCGUUUAUUAGAUAGCAAAAUAUUUUCAACGAAUUUACUACUUAAUAAAAAGAAUUGAGUCUUUAAAUCUUUUUCUUAAACAUUUAUGAUUCUCACAAUUAUAUACAUGAAAUUUUAUUAACUAUCAUGAUGCUGCAUGCAAUGAAUUAUAUCGAUUCACAAUGUCAAUGGCACGCGACUAAUUUUUCAUUGAGCUCAAUUGUCGCAUAUCGCUAGUACUAAUAAUACAUGAAUGUCGCGUUGCAAUAUAGGGAUAUUGUGAGAGAAAGCAUU